GAGUUUGAUCCUGGCUCAGGAUGAACGCUGGCGGCGUGCCUAACACAUGCAAGUCGAACGAAGCGCCUUAAGAGAUUCUUCGGAUGAUCUUUUGGUGACUGAGUGGCGGACGGGUGAGUAACGCGUGGGUAACCUGCCCUGUACAGGGGGAUAACAGCCAGAAAUGGCUGCUAAUACCGCAUAAGCGCACAGGAAGACAUCUUCCGGUGUGAAAAACUCCGGUGGUACAGGAUGGGCCCGCGUCUGAUUAGCUGGUUGGUGGGGUAAUGGCCCACCAAGGCAACGAUCAGUAGCCGACCUGAGAGGGUGAUCGGCCACAUUGGAACUGAGACACGGUCCAGACUCCUACGGGAGGCAGCAGUGGGGAAUAUUGCACAAUGGGGGAAACCCUGAUGCAGCAACGCCGCGUGAAGGAAGAAGUAUUUCGGUAUGUAAACUUCUAUCAGCAGGGAAGAAUAAAAUGACGGUACCUGACUAAGAAGAACCGGCUAAAUACGUGCCAGCAGCCGCGGUAA
rnacentral:rRNA from 1 species